CAGUCGAACGGAGCUGUUUUGAUGAAGUUUUCGGAUGGAUUUAAAACAGCCUAUUGGCGGACGGGUGAGUAACGCGUGGGUAACCUGCCUCACACUGGGGGAUAACAGUUAGAAAUAGCUGCUAAUACCGCAUAAGCGCACGGUUCCGCAUGGAACAGUGUGAAAAACUCCGGUGGUGUGAGAUGGAUCCGCGUCUGAUUAGCCAGUUGGCGGGGUAACGGCCCACCAAAGCGACGAUCAGUAGCCGGCCUGAGAGGGUGAACGGCCACAUUGGGACUGAGACACGGCCCAAACUCCUACGGGAGGCAGCAGUGGGGAAUAUUGCACAAUGGGGGAAACCCUGAUGCAGCGACGCCGCGUGAGUGAAGAAGUAUUUCGGUAUGUAAAGCUCUAUCAGCAGGGAAGAAAGUGACGGUACCUGAAUAAGAAGCCCCGGCUAACUACGUGCCAGCAGCCGCGGUAAUACGUAGGGGGCAAGCGUUAUCCGGAUUUACUGGGUGUAAAGGGAGCGUAGACGGCAAGGCAAGUCUGAAGUGAAAGCCCGGUGCUUAACGCCGGGACUGCUUUGGAAACUGUUUGGCUGGAGUGCCGGAGAGGUAAGCGGAAUUCCUAGUGUAGCGGUGAAAUGCGUAGAUAUUAGGAAGAACACCAGUGGCGAAGGCGGCUUACUGGACGGUAACUGACGUUGAGGCUCGAAAGC
rnacentral:rRNA from 1 species